UUCAAAAUGGCACCUUUAUUCAUUCCACUCUUCCUCCUGACCCUGCUCGCAGGUCCUUCCUCCCAGCUCCAGUUAAAGGAAUCUGGACCAGGAGUACUGAGGCCAGGAGAGACCCUCACACUGACCUGUACAGUCACGGGGGGCUCUGUCACAAGCAGCUACUAUUGGAAUUGGGUACGACAGACUCCUGGGAAAGGGUUGGAAUGGAUGGGGUACUGGACUGGGAGCACACGCUAUGCUGCAGCUUUCCAUGGCCGAAUCACCAUCUCGGUGGACCCUUCCGAAACAAAGUACUUUCUCCAGCUGAGCUCUGUGACAGCUGCAGACACCGCCAUGUAUUACUGUGCCAGAAGCACAGAGAGACAGAUUAAAGGAGGACCUGUACAAAAAGGGGAAGUGGGUUGUAGCAGUGCUGUGAGGAUGAUGUAA